ACUCCUACGGGAGGCAGCAGUGGGGAAUAUUGGACAAUGGGCGCAAGCCUGAUCCCAGCCCAUGCCGCGUGUGUGAAGAAGGCCUUCGGGUUGUAAAGCACUUUCAGCGAGGAGGAAAGGUUAAGUGUUAAUAGCACUUUAGCUGUGACGUUACUCGCAGAAGAAGCACCGGCUAACUCCGUGCCAGCAGCCGCGGUAAUACGGAGGGUGCAAGCGUUAAUCGGAAUUACUGGGCGUAAAGCGCAUGCAGGUGGUUUGUUAAGUCAGAUGUGAAAGCCCGGGGCUCAAGCCUCGGAAUAGCAUUUUGAAACUGGCAAGCUAGAGUACUGUAGAGGGGUGGAGAAUUUUCAGGUGUAGCGGUGAAAUGCGUAGAGAUCUGAAGGAAUACCGGUGGCGAAGGCGGCCCCNGCCUGACAGAUACUGACACUCAGAUGCGAAAGCGUGGGGAGCAAACAGGAUUAGAUA
rnacentral:rRNA from 1 species